rnacentral:rRNA from 1 species
AUACGGAGGGGGUUAGCGUUGUUCGGAAUUACUGGGCGUAAAGCGCACGUAGGCGGAUUGGAAAGUUGGGGGUGAAAUCCCAGGGCUCAACCCUGGAACUGCCUCCAAAACUAACAGUCUAGAGUUCGAGAGAGGUGAGUGGAAUUCCAAGUGUAGAGGUGAAAUUCGUAGAUAUUUGGAAGAACACCAGUGGCGAAGGCGGCUCACUGGCUCGAUACUGACGCUGAGGUGCGAAAGCGUGGGGAGCAAACAGGAUUAGAAACCCCGGUAGUCC